rnacentral:lncRNA from 1 species
CACAGGUAACAACAUCAACAUCUGACUUUCUCAGUGGAGAAAUCUUCACAAAUAAUCUAGCAGAAGGAGCAGGAAGCCUUCCAGGCAAAACUGAGGAAACCAGUAAGCCAGAACUGUCAUGGAAGCUGCCUCCAUGUCCCAGAACAGAGCUGCAGGAGGCUCGUGUGUUCCCUGAUCAUGACUGCAGCAGGAAGGCACAGCCAGCCAGCCUGCAUUGCCAAGUCCCACUGACUUAUCCAAGACAGGCAGAAAAUGCAAAUUCAACCUCAGGAGCCAGCAAAAAGCAGCAUUUGCUGGAGGUGACAAAGUGCAAAAUGGAAGAGUGACGACGCAGAGGAAAG